CGUUCUAUGGCCAAAUUGGUAAAAGGCAUCGCCGAUCAUUUAUAGUCAUUUAUAGUCAUUUAUAGUCAUUUUUUUGUUAAUAAAUUAUUAUUAUAGGUCAAAAACAUAGUAUAAAACAAUAAAAUAUCGAUAACACACACCACAGGCGAGGAUGCGGGUUCGAGUCCCGCUGGAACGG
rnacentral:tRNA from 1 species